rnacentral:rRNA from 1 species
GAUGAACGCUAGCGGCAGGCCUAAUACAUGCAAGUCGGACGGGAUUUGGGAGCUUGCUCCUAAUGAGAGUGGCGCACGGGUGCGUAACACGUAUGUAACCUACCUUAGUCAGGGGGAUAGCCUCUCGAAAGAGAGAUUAAGACCGCAUAACAUUAUUGAGGGGCAUCAUUUAAUAAUCAAAUAUUUAUAGGACUAAGAUGGGCAUGCGGAACAUUAGCUAGUUGGUAGGGUAACGGCCUACCAAGGGUACGAUGUUUAGGGGAUCUGAGAGUAUGGCCCCCCACACUGGUACUGGGACACGGACCAGACUCCUACGGGAGGCAGCAGUAAGGAAUAUUGGUCAAUGGGCGGAAGCCUGAACCAGCCAUGCCGCGUGCAGGAAGACGGCCCUACGGGUUGUAAACUGCUUUUAUACGGGAAUAAACCUACUUACGUGUAAGUAGCUGAAUGUACUGUAAGAAUAAGGAUCGGCUAACUCCGUGCCAGCCGCCGCCUAA